rnacentral:rRNA from 1 species
UANCAUGCAGUCGAUAGCGAACAGAUAAGGAGCUUGCUCCUUUGACGUUAGCGGCGGACGGGUGAGUAACACACGUGGGUAAACCUACCUAUAAGACUGGGAUAACUUCGGGAAACCGGCAAGCUAAUACCGGAUAACAUUUGGAACCGCAUGGUUCUAAAGUGAAAGAUGGUUUUGCUAUCACUUAUAGAUGGACCUGCGCGCCGUAUUAGCUAGUUGGUAAGGUAACGGCUUACCAAGGCGACGAUACGUAGCCGACCUGAGAGGGUGAUCGGCCACACUGGAACUGAGACACGGUCCAGACUCCUACGGGAAGAAGGCAGCAGUAGGGAAUCUUCCGCAAUGGGCGAAAGCCUGACGGAGCAACGCCGCGUGAGUGAUGAAGGGUUCAGCUCGGCUCGUAAAACUCUGUUAUUAGGGAAGAACAAACGUGUAAGUAACUGUGCACGUCUCUUGACGGUACCUAAUCAGAAAGCCACGGCUAACUACGUGCCAGCAGCCGCGGUAAUACGUAGGUGGCAAGCGUUAUCCGGAAUUAUUGGGCGUAAAGCGCGCGUAGGCGGUUUCUUAAGUCUGAUGUGAAAGCCCACGGCUCAACCGUGGAGGGUCAUUGGAAACUGGGAAACUUGAGUGCAGAAGCAGAGGAAAGUGGAAUUCCAUUGUGUAGCGGUGAAAUGCGCAGAGAUAAUGGAGGAACACACAGUGGCGAAGGCGACUUUCUGGUCUGUAACUGACGCUGAUGUGCGAAAGCGUGGGGAUCAAACAGGAUUAGAUACCCUGGUAGUCCACGCCGUAAACGAUGAGUGCUAAGUGUU